UACCGUUUCCUUCACAGAGACCGAGAGGUGUUAACCCUACCGUUUCCUUCACAGAGAGACGUGUUAACCCUACCGUUUCCUUCACAGAGACCGAGAGGUGUUAACCCUACCGUUUCCUUCACAGAGACAGAGAGGUGUUAACCCUACCGUUUCCUUCACAGAGACAGAGAGGUGUUAACCCUACCGUUUCCUUCACAGAGACAGAGAGGUGUUAACCCUACCGUUUCCUUCACAGAGACAGAGAGGUGUUAACCCUACCGUUUCCUUCACAGAGACAGAGAGGUGUUAACCCUACCGUUUCCUUCACAGAGACAGAGAGGUGUUAACCCUACCGUUUCCUUCACAGAGACAGAGAGGUGUUAACCCUACCGUUUCCUUCACAGAGACAGAG